GACGAACGCUGGCGGCGUGCUUAACACAUGCAAGUCGAACGGUAAGGCCCUUCGGGGUACACGAGUGGCGAACGGGUGAGUAACACGUGGGUGAUCUGCCCUGCACUUCGGGAUAAGCCUGGGAAACUGGGUCUAAUACCGGAUAGGACCAUGGACUUCACGGUUUGUGGCGGAAAGCUUUUGCGGUGUGGGAUGGGCCCGCGGCCUAUCAGCUUGUUGGUGGGGUAAUGGCCUACCAAGGCGACGACGGGUAGCCGGCCUGAGAGGGUGUCCGGCCACACUGGGACUGAGAUACGGCCCAGACUCCUACGGGAGGCAGCAGUGGGGAAUAUUGCACAAUGGGCGCAAGCCUGAUGCAGCGACGCCGCGUGAGGGAUGACGGCCUC
rnacentral:rRNA from 1 species